rnacentral:rRNA from 1 species
GAUGAACGCUGGCGGCGCGCUUAACACAUGCAAGUCGAACGGUGAAGGCGGAGCUUGCUCUGCUGGAUCAGUGGCGAACGGGUGAGUAACACGUGAGCAAUCUGCCCCUGACUCUGGGAUAAGCGCUGGAAACGGCGUCUAAUACUGGAUACGAGCUGCGAAGGCAUCUUCAGCAGCUGGAAAGAAUUUCGGUCAGGGAUGAGCUCGCGGCCUAUCAGCUUGUUGGUGAGGUAAUGGCUCACCAAGGCGUCGACGGGUAGCCGGCCUGAGAGGGUGACCGGCCACACUGGGACUGAGACACGGCCCAGACUCCUACGGGAGGCAGCAGUGGGGAAUAUUGCACAAUGGGCGAAAGCCUGAUGCAGCAACGCCGCGUGAGGGACGACGGCCUUCGGGUUGUAAACCUCUUUUAGCAGGGAAGAAGCGAAAGUGACGGUACCUGCAGAAAAAGCGCCGGCUAACUACGUG